ACGCGCCAGAGGCCAAACCUCAGAGGACAUUUUGGGGCGCGCUGAGAGGCGCGACGCCCCAACCCCUGUACCCAGGUGUUCUCGACUUUUCUCCUCCGUUUUUCAUCUCUAAACCCUCCAAACUUCCAUGAUACUUUCCCCAAGCCCCUAGGAUCAAUUGUACCCUCAAUAUACAACCAAUCUAACUCGCAAAACAACUCGGAAACAUGAAUCAAUUCAACACUAGGCAUUCAAC
rnacentral:lncRNA from 1 species